UGGGACUUAAGGAUGACUCGCUCUGAGA
rnacentral:piRNA from 1 species